UACGUAGGGUGCGAGCGUUGUCCGGAAUUAUUGGGCGUAAAGAGCUCGUAGGCGGUCUGUCGCGUCGAAUGUGAAAACCCGGGGCUCAACUCCGGGCUUGCAUUCGAUACGGGCAGGCUAGAGUUCGGUAGGGGAGUCUGGAAUUCCUGGUGUAGCGGUGAAAUGCGCAGAUAUCAGGAGGAACACCGGUGGCGAAGGCGGGACUCUGGGCCGAUACUGACGCUGAGGAGCGAAAAGCAUGGGGGAGCGAACAGG
rnacentral:rRNA from 1 species